CAUAGAUCCGGGUUCGAUUCCCCACAUGGGUACAAUGUGUGAAGCCCAUUUCUGGUGUCUGUCGUGAUAUUGCUGGAAUAUUGCUAAAAGCGGCGUAAAACCAUACUCACUCACUCACUCAUCCUUCAUAGGACGUUUGUUUUGGGGUUCUCAUAGUUUUUAGUGUAACAGUUUUUGUGUAUUUCGGGGCAAUCUUGAAGUGUAUGGUUGAUAUUUUGGGUUGUUUGUUUUAGUUUAUACUGUCUCUAGCAGGAUGCAAGCUAAUGUUGACUUCACUGCAAGACAUAUUUAAGAAAGCCAAGGGGCUUUUGUCUUAUCUCUUGAUGUUAAACUUUGCAUGUGUAGGGGUCCUAAACUUUUUCUUUCCUCCUGUCGACUUCUAAUUUGGACCCCAUUUUAAAUUGAAUAUUGGAUAACAUGAGAAUAGUUACCGGCAUAUAUCUAGUCAGGUAUGCAUUCAAAGAUUCUCUCUACAAAUUAUGCCAAAGUUGUUUGUGUGAAGAUUUGAAGAUUUUAUCAACAUCUUUAUGAUGAUCCAUUUGUUACAUUUUCUAUCCAUUUUGUGUCACUGUUGUCAUGGUAAUAACAGUAAAGUUAUUUCUUCUGUGUUUAUACUCAUGACUCAUUACAGAAAUACUGUAUUUGGUUUUCCUUUUUGGUGACUUUUUAGUUGUCCUUUUGUUGACAGUUAGCAACUAACAUUGAUAUAUAUUAUUAUUGCCAUCCCUAUGCCAUUCCUUAUUCUCACACCGUUGUGUGUGCAAUAUUAUGCAAGUACUCAAAAUUAUGUUCUAUACAUAUCCCUUGUUUCUUGAAUUUUCAUCAUUUAUUUGUUAUUUUUAUUGAGGACACAACUGAAUACUUAAUACUUGUUUUUUUGUAAGCAGAACCACAAAUUAAGUCGUGAUCUAUUUAUUUGUAUCAAGAUAUAAUCUGAUAAACAGAUUAACUUAACAUCAUUUCAUAAAUGAAAUCCUCUUCUUGAGGUGAGAUCCUGAUUUUGAUAAUUUUAGUGAGUUAAAGGAAUAUCAAAUGAAAUUGUUACUACUUAUUAUUAUGUAGAAGUGGUUUUUAUUUUUACUGUAUUAUAUUUUCUGUGUUUUUAAGUCUUAUUUGUGUGGGGUUUGAUGAUACUUGAAGGAUACUUUAAGCAUUGAAUUGUAACCUGGGGCUAGAGACACUACAAGAAGUGCAAUAUGAAAUGCAGCAACAAUGAAAGGUGAAUGGUAUGAGAGGAAGCCUCAGGCUAGUGAUGUGAUGUGGACUGUAUCACAUUCUUUAAUGUACUCUAAGCGUAUCAUGAAAGCCAUACCUUAUUGCUACUUACGUUAUUAUACAAUCAGAUUCAGAACUUUGGAUUGUGGCUGUUUUAUGUUUCUACUUCAAUUACAAUCUGGCUGAGUUCUUGCAAAGCAGGGCGGUGGGGUAGCCUAGUGGUUAAAGCAUUCGCUUGUCACGCCGAAGACCCGGGUUCGAUUUGUCACAUGGGUACAAUGUGUGAAGUACAUUUAUGGUUGCUGGAAUAUUGCUAAAAGCGGCGUAAAACUAAACUCACUCACUCACUCUUGCAAAGCUGAGUUAAUAAUACUUUUUGGAAACUGAUACAGAGUGAUGUUAUGAAUUAAUACAUGGGGAGGCAUUUCAUGUACUUUAUCACUUUGUUUAAAUUGUUUAUGUUCAUCUGUAAUUCCCCCCCAAAAGUAUCAUAGAAAAUGGCAAUAUAAGCAUCAUUGUAAGUAAAGAUUCACAAUAGUAGCAUUGUAAUAUGACGUGUAUCACAAUAUUAGCAUUGUGAUAUGACGUGUAUCACAAUGUAAGUGUGAUAUGACGUGUAUCACAAUAUUAGCAGUGUGAUAUGACGUGUAUCACAAAAUUAGCAGUGUGAUAUAACAUGUAUCACAGUAUUAGCAUUGUGAUAUGACAUCUAUCACAAUAUUAGCAUUGUGAUAUGACAUCUAUCACAAUAUUAGCAGUGUGAUAUAACAUGUAUCACAAUAUUAGCAAUGUGAUAUGACAUCUAUCACAAUAUUAGCAUUGUGAUAUGACAUCUAUCACAGUAUUAGCAUUGUGAUAUGACACCUAUCACAAUAUUGGCAUUGUCCUGUGCUGUGAUAUGCAUCAUUGGACUAAUGUAUCUUGGUAUUUACCGGUACUCCAUAUUUGUAUUGUAACCUGUUAGCAUGCUAACUGAAGAUAAUUAAUCAAAACACAUCAACCUUUUCAGUGUUACAUUAAAAAUAAUCAGCUUUGCCUUAUAGCAGUAUGCAAGGACCAAUGUUUAUGUUGCACUGUAUUAUUUUUCCCCCAGUAUUUCUCUGUUGUGGAUCCGAAUCUCUCCUGUUGUUUAUUUCAUUUUGCCUCAACCAUCUUAACCUUUGGCUUAAGAAAACAGCCUAUAUAGUCUUCAUAUUAACAAAUUUGUAAAUAGAACAACUGCUAAGAUACAAUGGAAGCUGUAAUUUUAUGCAUUUUGGUUCUAACAGAUUGCAUUUCCUAUUCUACCAUUCCAUUAAACAGUAUUUGGAACAUCAUAUGUAGUAGAAGUAUGUGGUUUGUAUACAGGGCUAUGUCACCCUAGCAUGGUAUGAGAUGUAUUCAGAACAGCGGUCAGGAUCGACUGUAAGUUAUAGUGUGAUUGUUAUGGCUAAUAUGUGACGAGUCUGUGUGUAUCUGUGUACAUUUGUGUACAAGACAAGGGUAAAUGUACUGGGUAAAAAUCCUGUAGUUUCUAAAUAAGUUCUUUGUUAAGAAUAGUAAUAUGUUUUUCCAUGCAAAACUUUUGAAAUAAGUCCCUUGAAACCAGGAUGAAAAGGAUUUUCGAUCAUUUUUCACAUCCUGAAACAUGGUGAAGAAAAAUCUACAUUUCCUUGUCAUAAAAUCUCUGGUUGAACGGAAAUCCAGAUGUCUUUACAGGUAUAGUUCUUGAGUAACACAUGAGCCUCAUUGCUCUCAUUGUAUUUACCUUUGUGUUAAUUGCAACUAAAUUAGCCACCCAGGCAAUGCCCUUUUCUAUUUGUUAAAUGUCCACAAAGGGUCACCAUCUGACAAACUGAAGGUCACAUGCUUUUUCAAGCAUGUCACCUCAUUCAGCAGCCACUGUGAGCACUACCUAUGCAUUGUACUUACAAUUACCUCAGGUGACCUCGACAUUGUGGUCUUUACCUUUGUUAUCUCCCUUUGGCCAACUGCCUGGAUAGAGGUUACCAGUAAGUUAAAUGUUUCACAAAAUAUUGUUUGUAUUUUUUACUUUGUUGAGUAUUAUUUGUUUAUUGAUGGUGGGGAAUUAAUAAGAAACAUAGUAAAUAGUGUGUAUCAUCCCAAAUAUGAUUUUGUUAAAACCUUACUUACUUUACCAGUAACCCGUGAAGAUCUGGGUUAGAAUUGAUCUUCAGCAACCCAUGCUUGUCGUAAAAGGCAACUAACGGGAUCGGGUGGUUAGGCUCGUUGACUUAGCUGACACCUCAUUGGUUCCCAAUUAUGCAGAACGAUGCUCAUGCUGUUGAUCACUGGAUUGUCUGGUCCAGACUCGAUUAUUUACAGACCGUCGCCAUAUAGCUGGAAUAAUGCUGAGUGCAGCGUAAAACUAAACUCACUCACUCACUACUUUACCAGUAAUUAAUCACUUUCAAAUGAAUUGGUCCAUUGACAUGGGUUCAUCAAAUGAUGAAACCCAGCAUGAAUGUAUUGUUUAUUUGAACCCUGAAUGGAGGGAUUUGAACUGUCUUAGUUAAUUAGUUAGUUGUCCAAUUUAGAGUAUCCCAUAAUAAUUGAAAUCUAGUAAUCAUUCCUAAUCAGGUAGACCAGUGACUCCUAUUUAACCUUGCUGAAGUUACAGAUACUGAUGCUGUGAUCUCUUGGUAUAUCUGUGGCACUAUGUAACAGUCCAGACAAACUAAUAUAUAUGUAUUUAGCACUGUCAGUGUCUGGCUUGCAUGGGUGGUAACUGGGUGGAAGAUCUUCAUAUCAGCUUCGCAAUACAGAAUAUCUUGGUUGUUAGUGUAUGAUAUCAUGUAUAUCAGCAGAAUAAAUUUCUACAGGUACA